UGAGCUAGUUUGUUGACACACAUUUGUGUUUAAAUAUUGUGUAUUGCCAUUGAGAAUGAGUUUGCAAACCCUAAUAUUUUCUCUCAAACCCCAACAGGGUCCGCCAGGUCCGAAAGGUGAGAAGGGAGAUCAAGGAGACCAGGGACCGCGGGUAUGUGGUCUUCUCUAGCAUGCGCUUAUUUUAUUUUAUUUUUUGAUGUGUUGAUAAAUCUGUGUUAUGUCUGGGAUAUUAAAUGCAUGGAAUGUUUCAGAUGCAUGAGUUCUUUGUGGACAGUUCAUACUUAAGCUUUCCAAGCAUAACAAAGCUGCCCUAGAAUAAGUCAAGCAGACACAAGAGAGUUGAACUAUAAACACCUGAGGUAGCCAUUAAGAAAGGUCAGUGCCCUCUGAUUGCUUCUGCGGGUCUGAGUGCCCUCUGCCGAGGAAGAGUGCCUGGAACAAAAACAAAUGUGUCAGAGUUUAUUGUAAUUUGAUAUAGCUGAAGCCUUUCUACUUCACAAUGACAUAUGAUCACUGAAGACUGAGAGCUCAUUGGAAGAAUGUAAUUAUUUCCAUCCCAGUUGUUUGACAUUUUGAUAAAUUCACACCUCUUAGAGAAUGAUUAUGAAGUCCACGCUUUGCCACAGCUGGCAAAUUAUUGAAUAAAUCACUCAGAUAUCUCAUUCCAAUAUCUGCUUGCAGGGAUUCAUCUAACUGUGACUGACUUAUUAAGUCUAUCUGUCUUUAUUGCAUUACGCGUCUGCUCUUCUCCUACUCUCUGAUCCUCACUGCCUUUUCUUUAUAUUCAUCAUUGUCUUGGAUAGACUCCAGAAGGGAACCAGGCACUAAAAGUGUCUCUAAUUAAUUUGCCCCACAUGUGGGUGCACAUUGAGGUUAACUUGAACACAGCCAUCAGCCCAAUACCAAACAUCUUCAUCACCUGUGACACUGUCGCAUAUGUCCCUGAGUUGCAAGCCCAUACCAGCUUCCUGAUUGUGGUUUACUGUCUAUCACUAUGAGUCUCCUGCUCCUUGAAAAUUAGAUUUAUACUCUAACCACAAAACCCACUUCAUAUGAGUUACUGCACACACAGAAGCUUUUGGUAAGUUGUGUUCUGUGUCAUUUAGUUUUUAAUUGUAUAAUGAAGUAUUUGGAUAAUAAGAUGAUGGAUAAUGUGAAUGAUUUACAUUUCACAAACUUAUCCAAGAUUUAUAUGACUUGAGCACUAAAUAUCCAAGGUACUGUGUCUGAUGAACCUCCCAGACAAAACACACCGUGCAGGCUACUUUUCUGUGAGUCAUAAUUACAAGAAUGAGAUGCUGGCUUAUUGUUGUUAUUAUUAUUAUUUCACUGAGUCAUAUAAUUAUGUGAAAGUCAUCAUCUUGACUAUGGAAAUGGGUUUUAUUUUUUACAUGAGCUGUCUGAGCUACACUGAGCUGUCUACAUAGGUAGAGAAAGAAAAUGUAUUUAAAGGAAUACAGAGAUACAAAAGAAUAGGAAACCAAUAUUCAGAAGUGUGUGUGCUUAAAGAGAAGUAACAAUACUUACUGUUACUAGCUAGGCGUGCAAAAAUGUGACAUAUUUUAUGUAGAUAUGUGCUUUUUAUAAUGUAAUGAAAUUUAAAAGUAAUAAAGAUUGUACUAAAAAGUAGAUUAGUUUAUUACUUUAGUUAUUUUGACCAGAACAUGAUACAUCACUUUUCAGAAGAACUGAUGAGUUUGCGCUUAAUGGAAAACAUAACAAAAUGAGAUGACUGAUGAACACCCAUCCCUCACACACCAACUCAUAUUCCUUAGUUAAGAGGUUGAAAGUUCAAAGAAUGAAUCAACAGCAAAUAAUACAGCCUGAAGUGAAUAGUACGUGUUGAAUCAAACUUGAAUCAAUUUUUUGGUUCUGUCAUUGACGGGACGUGUGUAAUUUAUACAGUUCCCUAUUGACGCUUUUCUUUAAGCGCUACAAAGGGGAGUCCAGUCCUGGUAGCUAUAUUUUGUGUAGUCCUGCAGAUAUACAACUCAAGAUGAGCUCUUUUACUGCCAUAGAGUUAAGAUCUUGGGUCUUAUCCAGUAUGAAAUCUCUCCACAAAUGUCAGAAGAAUUAUUCAAUGUUAAAGAUCUGAAAAGCUAUUCCAGGACAAAGAGUUUUGCAUGCUAUGAUUCAGAAGCCAAGAUGUCUUUAAAAAUAAACUGAUUUAAAAUCAGUCUGAUGAGGUUUGUAAAAUACAUGACAAGCCAAGUAUACCGAGCCACCUUCAGGAUUCAAUCAAUACACUUAUUUAAAUUUAUUGAAACCAUCUGCCCUCAAAUAUAGAUAAUCAUUUCAUGGCGACUAAACUUUUGUCUCUCGGUGCAAAAGAGGACAAAAAAAAAAGAAAGAUGAAGAUAAGUAGAAGGGACAUUAACUUUAGCACUGGCUGCUGCACACAACAUAAAUGCACACAGAACAGCUCAAAUCUGCAUGUAACGAAUGAUGUUAAACUGGGCAUAAACACUGUGGUUAAAAGAGUUGGAUAUUUUAGAACAAAAAUACUUCAACUGAACUGUUGUAGUCAAGCAAAAUGUCAGAUAAAUGUAAGGUAAUCCAGAUUAUAGGUGUAAUGUCAUCAUUACUGUAAAGGGCAAUUCAGAUUGUUAUCAUUGCAUUUGUUCAGUUUUGAGCCCAGAAAAAGUACCGCUUGCUCUCAGUCAAAAUCCAAACUAUUUGCUGAUCAUUAAGAAUCUUUAUCAACCAUAUUAAUUGUUCGAGUAUGCAGUGGGAUUAUGAGGACUAUAAAGCUCCAUACUAAAUUUAAAAGUAAUUUAAUGAGACAUUGUGAAGCUACUUUUCUUUGACUAAGGAGAAAAGUGAUGAAGAAAAGUGAAAACCAAACUCUUCUUUGGUUGAGUCAUGUCAGACAUUUUUCUUCCCGCUGCUAAGGGCAUUAUUGUAACACAGGGACAGUUACAGUGAGGUUGAUGGUGCAACCCUGUGGCCAAAGUAAUGGUACAUAAGCCCAGCUUAUAUUAGCCACAGUCUUCUUAUAAAAUGUAGUGGGAUCAGUGCAAAGUCCCACUGACUCCAGGCAAAUUGAUCAAGCUUAUUGUAAAACUAACAGAUUGAAGCGAAGGCAACACUCCAGCUUUAGUUGAGCGCUACAUAACUCAAAAGGCCUAGACAGUAUUUCUGUCAGAGGAGCUCUCAGUGAUCCUCUUGAGCUUGCUCCCAGUUUUAUGCUCAGGAUGUCUGUGGUUGUUAGUAACUCAUUCUGUAGUAAUGUCUCAUUAGUUAGAUUUAUUAUAAUUUUGUUUGAAAGAGUAUCCUCUUCACAUAUUCACUGAAACAGUAGACAGCUGUUUCCUGAGCUAUACUUUUUAAAAUAACCUAUGCCAUUUCAAUUACUUCCCAAACAUGCUAAGAUGGAAUAUCCCAUAAACAUGGUAUUUCCCCCAUGUUUUUAUGACAACCAUUUAAAAACCACUGUUCAACUAAUUGCUGGAAUUUUUUUUUAGCAUACAUAUACCAGACUUUUAGGUUGUGUUGGGAUGACAGAGCAGACAUAAAAAUAUAUGGUCACAUUUUUCCUGGAAAAUCAUUUCGUUCUAAAUAAACAUUUAAACCAUUUUAAAAGAAUUGUCACACAAAACAGAUGGGCAGAUACAGAGUCAUGCACCAGACAUGGAAAGUCUGGCACUUAUUAUUAUUAUUUGACUGAUCUUAUUUUUUAUUUUAAAUAUAUAGUUUAGUUGAUAUGCACCUCAAGCCCCUAUACAGGCAUUAUGUCUUUACCCUUGAAUUUGAUACAGUGCUACAGAGAUUUGUGUGGUGGUGUACACAAUCCAUGUUAUCAUUUUGUGUGGUUGUUGUUUUUGUUAUGCCAUUUUGUCCCCAGGGACUUCCUGGUGUGCCCUCCAUGGCUGCAUUGCACAGCAAUCAAAUCCUGACUGUAAAGGGUGAUCAGGGUCAAACAGGCCCUCCAGGACCUCCUGGACCUCCAGGUCCUCCUGGUCCCAGAGGACCUCCAGGGGACACAGGAAAGGAUGGCCCCAGGGGAGCUCCAGGGCUACCAGGUGACCCAGGAACUCCAGGAGAGCUGGGCCCUGCGGGACCAGAGGGCCCUCCAGGACUCAAGGGUUCCAUUGGGCCAUCUGGCAUUCCAGGUAUUGAUGGAUUGAAGGGGGAGGUGGGUAUUCCCGGAUUAGAUGGAAUCCCUGGUGCCAAGGGUGACAAAGGAGAGCAAGGCGAAAAGGGUGACAUGGGAGAAGAGGGGCCAAAAGGCGAUGUUGGUGAGAAGGGUGAUGCAGGGUCUUCUGCUGCUGGCAUUAAGGGAGAACCUGGUGAACCUGGACGAAGUGGGCAAAAGGGAGAACCAGGACUUCCAGGGCUGCCUGGACUUCCCGGAAUAAAGGGUGAACCUGGAUUUCUCGGCCCACAGGGUGAGCCAGGGCUGCCAGGACUACCUGGAACCAAGGGAGAACGAGGAGAGCUGGGACCUCCAGGAAAGGGUGAACGUGGAGAGACAGGCCCAGUUGGACCAAAGGGAGCACAAGGGGAGCCAGGAACACCAGGCCUCAAAGGGUCUAAGGGGGACACUGGAGACAAAGGAGAUGUUGGACUUAGAGGUCCCACAGGUCCAGCUGGAGAGAAAGGUGACCAGGGCACAACUGAAAUAAUUGACUACAACGGAAACAUCCAAGAAGCGCUUCAGAAGAUAACCACUAUUACAGUGACGGGUCCCCCUGGGCCUCCUGGACCAGUUGGACCACAGGGCUUUAAGGGAGAUCAAGGUCCUCCAGGUCUUCCAGGGCUUGAUGGAGAGAGGGGUCACAAGGGUUCAAAAGGAGACAUGGGAAUGCCAGGAAUGUCUGGCGAUAAGGGAUCUGUAGGUCUGCCUGGCCUACCAGGUACCAAUGGUCAGAAAGGAGAAAAGGGUGAUGCUGGUUUGCCUGGACCUCAAGGACCAUCUAUUAUAGGCCCUCCUGGGGCACUCGGUCCACAUGGUCCACCUGGUCCAAUGGGCCCUCAUGGAUUCCCUGGACAAAAGGGGGAAGCAGGUUUGCCUGGUUUAAAGGGAGCACGCGGAGAGCCCGGGCCCAAGGGUGACCGUGGACCCCUGGGCCUCCCUGGAGCAUCUGGCUUGGAUGGCAAGCCGGGAUUAAGGGGUACAGAUGGCCCAGUUGGUGCUCCUGGUCCUGCUGGCCCUAAAGGAGAUAGAGGUGAAAAAGGUGUUACAGGUGAACCUGGACCAAGAGGACCAUAUGGAUUACCUGGUGCUGCAGGGACACCUGGCUUGGAUGGGUUACCAGGCUUAAGGGGAGAGAAGGGCGACGUGGGGGAAAGAGGAGAAAAGGGUUUCCGGGGCUUUAAGGGUGAAAAGGGCGAGCCAGGCCAGCCUGGUCUGGAUGGGCUGGAUGCCCCGUGCCAAUUGGUACAGUAUCCUCUUUUCCUAUCCUCUCCUGUGCAUGCCACCAUUCUCUGUGUCCUCACUAUGGCGUGGCUCCCUCAUGCUUUCAUGGCAUAAUGUCAACCGUGCCAGGCUGUUCUUCAACAUGCAUGACUGGCUUAUGAUUUGAGUGGGAAAAUAUUAGAAAAGUUACUCUAUUACUCAUCCGUCUGAUUCAUACCACGCAUGUGCUUCUUAUCACAUACUCAACUGCUUUAAAUUGCUUGGUUUUGUGCAGUGCAUUCAUCUUUAAUAGCACAGCAUUUACUAUCAGACAUGCUUACACUAUUAGUGAUCUUUUUGCUUCUCAAUAAUAAAACACGCAGGCAAACCCAAGAGACACAAUAUUAUAUUUAUCAGCCAUAUGGAAUGUCAAUAGCAACUUCCUAAUCAUCAUGAACAUAACCCUUUUGAUUGAGACCCUUUCCUUGUCAUUUUGAUUAAAUGGUGGAAUUCAUAUAAAUUCCAUUUAGCAGAAUAUUACACAUAGAACACUGACUAACCUGCGCCCUGUAACUUGAUAAUACUGUACUUGAAUUUCAUUGCAUUAGCAGCAUGGAUCUAGUCUUCAUAUUCCUACUUACCUUUCUACCUGUUCCAGUUUGGCACAGCAGAAACAAGGAUAUAUUCAGCCCAUGGCUCCUCCUGCACCAUUUUUUAAAGUUUUGGCUCCUUUGUAAACCUUAAUGUAGCUAGUGAUUAAACAUAAAUUAUGCUCUUGCAUGUAGGUAGGUUAUUAGAUAUCAUGUUCUUCUUACUUUAAGUACACUUUGUUGCCAAAUGUUUCAUUUGCCUUUAUUUUAUUUUAUUUCUUUUAAUAUUAUCAGAUAGCAUAUACAAUGAUUUUUUUAGAGGUGGUUUUACAUGUGCUCAUUUAUAAAUGUGGUGUUAUAUGUGAAUAUCACAUCUUAUGUCUUUUAUUGCAUGCACCAGUUGUUUGUGUGUCCUUUGUAAAAGAAAAGGUUUGGAAAACUAGAAAAUAACUAAAGAUGUUGUGGAAAGUCACUUAUAACUUAGGAAACUGUUUAAUAACUGUUUAAUUUUCUUAUUCCUUGCCACAAUAGGGGCCAGAUGGAUUACCAAUGCCUGGCUGCUGGCAAAAGUGAACAGUCUAACUCAAACCGCAUGGAAUUUGUAAAUAAUGCUUCAUUAUUGUAUUUAUAGUUUGUAUUUUUAAUUGUGAAGAAGAAUAUAAAUGGAUCUUAAUAUAAAUGUGUGUACACUGUGGGGUAAAAGUGAAAAGAUCAUGAGCCUCACCACACCCAACUGCUUCUACUCACGUUUGUGCUGUCAUGGCGGUGUGUGUCACAUUCCCAUAAAGCAUUGUGGAGUUUAUAUCAUGUUUGUGAUCCACUAAGAGACUGUUGAAAACAAGGACAGGUUUGCAUGGUCCUUGGGAGACGAGUGGAUACAGAAAUGGACUAAUGAGGUGAAAGGCAAAAGUGGAAGAGUAAGAGGAGGCGAUGGAGAGAUCAGGACUUGCUCAAGAUCUAAAUAUCUAUCAUCCCAUCAUGUUGUACUACCAGCUCAAAAGACUAAAGACUGUCCACACAUCCUAAAAGAAGCAUGUAAAUAUCACGUUGUGCUGCAAUCAAAAUGCUAUGGCUUCUGCAGAGCACUAACUGGCUGUUUUUACUUUGUCUAAUAAGGAAUAUUUGGCCCUGAUGUUUAAUUUACUUUUUGUCAUCUUCUCAAGGGAGUCACACCUUGGCUGGUGGCGUAAGAGAAUCAUUUAAAUGGAGGUAGAAUGAGAUUGUGAGGUUUCUUUUAUUGUUAAGAGGUCAGUUCCUUCAGCACUUCAGGAUUUCACUCCUUGAUCGUCGUGAAUUACUGGAAUGAACAGUGAACUGUAAUCACAGGAUGAGUGGAAGAAAGAAGCAGCUGCAGCACUGUCUUCAUCUAAUCCUGGCUCAGAUGGCAGAUCAGAAACUCCAACCUAUAUGCACUUUAUUGCAGUAUGUGCAAAAGGAUGGAGAUUUCCAACACCUGUCCCAUCAUCAGGAAUGACGCGUCUGUAUUCCUCUAUAUAUGUAUAUAUAUAGUGAUUUACAUCCUUUGUUAUUCAGUUAUUCAAUUGUGGUCAUUCCUUUACCAUUUAUUUUUGUUUUGACACAGAAUUUUCACACAGAAUGACGAAUUGCAUAAUAUACAGUAUUUCAGCUGAUAUAUGUCGCAAGCAGAUGAUGACAAAGAAAUACAGGAUUUUCUUUCUUUGUAGCAUUUUUUUAUGGUUUUAAUCUAACUGAUGUUCAUGCAUGUCAUAGGUUAAAUGAAAUAGUGUCCCUUGCCCCUAUAAACUUUGACAACUUUUAGGGAGUGCAUGUUUUUUUUCUGAAGCUAGCAGUUCUGUUAGUCAUCACUCUGAACGCCAUUUAAGAAGAUGAUUUAUUUUUACAUUGUGUGCAAUUAAAUUUGCACAAAUGUUGAAUUACACAAACUUUUACAAUUCAAAGGUCCAGCAGACAGGGGGCAGCACUGAUUUUAUAUAUAUAUAUAUAUAUAUAUAUAUAUAUAUAUAUAUAUAUAUAUAUAUAUAUAUAUAUAUAUAUAUAUAAUUAUUAUUAUUAAUGUUGUCUGUCAUCAUUGUUAUAUGCUAUAACAUUCCAGAGCCAUUGCAAAGUUUCUGAGAAAUGCAGCCCUGCAGUUCUGUAGUAUUGCUUUAGCCACGUGAUGACAGUCGAAUACACACUUAGGCUGCACUGUGUUUGAUGGAGCAAUUGCUUUGACUGCGUAUGUAUUGGCAUUUCUGAACGGUCUGUUGGGCAAUUCAAUUUUGUUUGUGUAUUUGUAUAUACAGUUUAUAUUCAAGCUAACUGAAACAUUUGCAUUAGCCUUUAUACUUUGAAGUAAUGCGAUGUUUGUUUUAUACUUAAAGCAUAUUGCUGGAAAACAGAGGCAUUCCUUGUAACAUGAGGUAGCUUUGAAGGUCUUUUUACCUUUCAGUAUUAUUCAUGUAUGGUGGAGUUCUGCACUGAAAUGCGAAGCAAUCUGAAUGGACGUAAUGCUUCAUUAUGCUUCAAAACUUCACUCAUUUGAAUCUUGGAGAUGGUUGGUUACCAUGGUUGCAUUACACCACACUGCAGCACCGUUUAAGUUGGGCUGCUUACUUUCAGUCAUAUGUUAAGCAAUCACUUUGGUCUUGCUGUUAUUCAUAGUUUAAGUCAAAAAAGGGAUUGAUAAGUAAGAAAAUGCCACAUGCAGUUUUCACAGGCUGUGGGUAAUAUAGCCCCACUCCCUUUCUCAUACUUAUUGUUCAAUGAAUGUAGAAUAAUUAUAUGUAUAAUGUGUGGGUUAAAUAUUUGCUCAUUAGACAAAAGUGCAAUUUAUACUUUUCUUGUACAGUAUGUAUUGAUUUGUGAACCAUAUUCAGUAUAUGAAUACAAAUGUCAAUUACACCCAUUUAUUGUAAGUUAUAAGAGGUAUUUUAAUCACUUUUACAUUGGCACUGGUGAUUCCAACAUUUUCCAAGAGUAUGGUGUGGAUGUGAAGAAGGUUGAGUGUUGUGUCAAGCAUAUUUUCUUUACUUUUUUUUUUUUAAUUCAGAUAUGGCAAAUUCUUUUGUUGUGUUGAGCUGUCAUUUUACACUUCAUUUUUGAGAACGUGAGAGCCGAAUGCAUCUUCUGUUAACUUUAUUUCUUUCAAUAUUUGCAUAAAAACACUUUUCUAUACAUUUCAACAUUGGUGCUGUUUAAAUUCAUACUUUUUUUGUUAUUGUUGUUUAUUUGCUUGGUGUCAUAAUAUGUCUUGAAAAUUCCACUUUUCAUAAAUGGUUACUUUUGAAUUGACAUUUUUUUGUGUGUGUCUAGAGUUUUGUCUGGUACUUUCUACACUAUUUAGUUUACUUUUUCCAGAAAGCACUAGGCAAUAAUUUAACUGAUUUUUUUAUUUUAUUAUUAUUAUUAUUUUAGUUUUAAAUAUGAGAAACACACGAGAUGAGUUAAAUGUUAUGAUGAUGUGUUGAUGGGUUUCUUGUAAAUAAUGCAUAUGAUAUUGGGUCUGGGAUUUUUUGGUCAUUUAGCAGAAUCAAACUUUACAGACAUACUUCAGUUCCACUUGGAGGACCACCUUCUGACUUCCAUGUGAAUGGAUGUGCAAGCUAAUUCUCUCUCUCUCUCUCUCUCUCUCUCUCUCCCUCCCUCUAUUUUACUUUUUAUUGACUUUUAUUCAUUAUUGACUUCCUGAUUUAAAAGAAAAAUGUUCAUUUUCUAAUUUCUUCAAUUGCCUCAUGUUGUUAAUGAGUGUCCAUAAAAGGCUCAAUUCAUUUCAAGUACGUUUUAUGUGACAGUGCUGUUGAGCCAAAUAAACUCCUCCAAAUAUCUGCAGCAGUGCUUUUGUUUCUUCUU